rnacentral:lncRNA from 1 species
GCUGAACAGCACCUUAAAAACAGACAUCACAUACAACCAGCAAGACAGGAGUGAAUGCAUUCACCCCUUCGACAUACUGAGGAGCAGGUGCGUGUUACAUAUUCCUGAUGCUACAUAUCACCGUAAACGUGUAAAAGUUACUUUCAAGUACCCUUUAGAGAUUGGUAGUCCCCAGAUCAUAUCCAGCGCUACACUUCACGCAACACAAACUCCCAAACAGGCGAAGCAGCUGAAGUCUUGCGAUAGGUAAAGCACAAACGCUCUUCACACCACCACCAUGUUUAAGCAAAACUUCUUCCACCCCAAAAGCCAGCUCUGCGGCCAGGCACGAGACACCACCGGUCGCCUUUUAGCCACCUUUUAGCCAAACCUUCACGAAUCUUUCCGAUAUCUCCUGCGCGCUCCCCAUAAACAUAAAGCUGUAUUUUAGACCCCACGAACUUUAAUUCGCCACUGCCAGAGCAAACCCCUUUGACAGGACCCGGGACCUUUCGGGCUGGACUCCGGACCCAAAUAUUAAGCGGGUGGUUUGAAGCGUCUCGGAAAUUGGAAGAGGCCUAAAGAGAAGGGCUGUAAAAAGCUGCUUUCCCCGAGCCCUCAGCACCCCCUGCCCACACGCACCGCCUCUCCUCGACCCCCUUCCCAGCGGCUCCGCGCAGGGACGACCGGAGCGGCGGCUCUGAAUUACGGAGGCACACAGCGGAUGGAUAAAGAGCGAGAAAGAAACCUCCGGUGCCUGAAGAAAGGAGAAUAAAAAGAGCCAGACUAGGAAAACAGCACGGAGCUGCCUUUCGCCUCGAAGCCAUGCGAGCGGCCUUACUGCGCUUACCAAGCUCAAGCUGUUUGUCGCUGCCCUCGAUGGCAUCGCCGCCUUCUGCCGUUCCUCAGGUACGGUGCGUGCUCCAAAACCGCCCCGCCGUCGGUCCCUGGGGCUGCCGAGUCCUGUUGGCUGCGUCCUGUUGGAGGGACUGGGCCGUUUUGAGGUGGUGUGAACUCUCCUUACGCGCUGUCGCUCCACGAAUCCGCUGCUCUUGGAGCCAUCUGCUUCUCCUACUUAGGCAUGAACUCAUGGGCAGCGAGGAAGGGAGGGGGUAUGAGGCCGUCCAGGUUUUUCCUUGCCUGUUUUAG